UCAGCAACCCCCUCCUGCGUGUGAGAGCCCUGACCUCUACUGACCUCUGGAGGGGAGAAGGUAGCUUCUUGCAGUCCUGUUCAGCGCAGCUCAUAUGUAUCAAGGUGUGCUGUGCUGCAGCAUCCAUUCAAGUGAAGGUUGUCUCUCCUAAACUCCUGGUUUUGUCCUUCAGUGUGGUCUGCCUCGCUUCUUUCUGUCUCUGUCUCUCUCGAUUGCUCUCUCUCUCUCUGCCUUCCAGCUACUGUUUGUCGCUUGUAUGCUAUACCUUCUAACACCCACGAAUGUGGCAAGUCUGUGCUGCAGCAGGAUAAAAAGAGUUGAGGGCUGCUAAAUUCCGAAGAAUUUCUACAUCCGAGGACUAAUACCAUCACAGGGCCCAGUUUCUGCAUAAAAGAUUGGUUAUGAGAGAAGGCUGACGGCUGCUGCAUGAAGUGCAUUAUUACCUCGUGAUACUGUGACCCUCCUCUAUGCAUCCCUAACUCUCCAAAGCUGAUUCAGCUUUCAGCUAGUGCUCUGGUGACACAACUGCUGCAACAGAAUCUCUGAUCUGCGCCGUCACUCUGGCCACAUUGUUAGGGGAGGUUUAAAGCUCAGCCUGGGAUGACUGUGAAGCAGACAGAGAAAGACAGACUGGGAGAGAGCGACUGAAAGCGCAGAAUGGGAAUGGAAAUCAUGAGGGGCUGAAGUGGUGCUGCGUCCGUCCUAAUGAAAUCUCUGUUUAUGGGGAAGCCUUGCUGUCUAACAGCGACUUACAAGUGAACUAUCAGUGAUGGCAACAGAUGUGUGCUUCAGCUGCACCAAGUCUCAAAGUGCACGGCCCCUGAAAUCAAGAAGUAAUCCCGGGAGCAACAGCAUAUCCACCAGUCAAAAUAUGUCUUUUGAGACCCAGUAAUGAAUGGAAUCUUUCAAUUGAACCUCGAUGUACAACUCUCUUUCUUGAGUCAAAUGCUUUGCUAAAGCUGGUAAAAUGGAACCAAAUCAACUCUUCUAUGGAUUUGGUCCCCUUCAACCAGCUGUAGCUGUGCAUUGAUCGCCACAGCAUGAACUGGAGACUGAAAACGUGCCUGAGCUGAAACUGUCAACGAAGGCUGAAGAUAAACAGCUAUGAAGACAUUGUCAGUAGGAAAAUUAUGAUGCUUGAUAUCUGCUAAUGUAUCACGUACAUGCAAACUGGUAGGCUGAAUCCUAACCGAGAAGACCUAUAGAAAUCCUACAGCUCAUGGAAAAAGAAAUCUUUAUUCUAGCAUAUUUUUCAAAGUGCUUUUUCCUACCUAACAUGAUGCAUCAAAGCAAUAUCUUUUAUGUAGCCAGCCUGUAAUAUUAGUUAAUCAAUACUUGUACAAGUUGUGUGUUGAUUAUAUAAAUAAAUGGUUUAAUCUCUUUUAUUUGGUUCACUGGCAUUACUACAACAAUUUUCUUCCAUUAUUACAGCAGUCAAGUCUAUUUUUCUCCGACUGAUCAAAGUGAGGGAUGUUAGGAACAUCACACUUAGACCAUCCUCGGUCUGCAUUAAGCACUUCCAAGAUGGAUGUAACAUUAUUAGAUGCAGAGUAAAGCUCUUUUAAUCUUU